rnacentral:rRNA from 1 species
UACGAGGGGAGCAAGCGUUGUUCGGAUUUACUGGGCGUAAAGGGUGCGUAGGCGGCACCACAAGUCACUUGUGAAAUCUCUGGGCUUAACCCAAAGCGGCCAAGUGAUACUGUGGAGCUAGAGUGCAGAAGGGGCAACUGGAAUUCUCGGUGUAGCGGUGAAAUGCGUAGAUAUCGAGAGGAACACCUGCGGCGAAGGCGGGUUGCUGGGCUGACACUGACGCUGAGGCACGAAAGCUAGGGUAGCAAACGGG